AGUGAACGCUGGCGGUAGGCCUAACACAUGCAAGUCGAACGGCAGCACAGUAAGAGCUUGCUCUUACGGGUGGCGAGUGGCGGACGGGUGAGGAAUACAUCGGAAUCUACUUUUUCGUGGGGGAUAACGUAGGGAAACUUACGCUAAUACCGCAUUCGACCUACGGGUGAAAGCAGGGGAUCUUCGGACCUUACGCGAUUGAAUGAGCCGAUGCCGGAUUAGCUAGUUGGCGGGGUAAAGGCCCACCAAGGCGACGAUCCGUAGCUGGUCUGAGAGGAUGAUCAGCCACACUGGAACUGAGACACGGUCCAGACUCCUACGGGAGGCAGCAGUGGGGAAUAUUGGACAAUGGGCGCAAGCCUGAUCCAGCCAUACCGCGUGGGUGAAGAAGGCCUUCGGGUUGUAAAGCCCUUUUGUUGGGAAAGAAAAGCAGCAGGUUAAAACCCCGCUGUUCUGACGGUACCCAAAGAAUAAGCACCGGCUAACUUCGUG
rnacentral:rRNA from 1 species